CGUUCUUCCAGCGCUGUCUUUUUAGCAUCACAUGGGCAGGAAGGUAAUGGCGGCGCUGGUUGUGUCCGGGGCAGCGGAGCAGGGCGGCCGAAAAGGCCCUGGCAGAGGUCGGGUCCCUCGGGGCCGGGUAGCCAAUCAGAUCCCCCCUGAGAUCCUGAACAACCCCCAGCUGCAGGCAGCAGUCCAGGUCCUGCCUUCCAACUACAACUUUGAGAUCCCCAAGACCAUCUGGAGGAUCCAACAAGCCCAGGCCAAGAAGGUGGCUUUGCAAAUGCCAGAAGGCCUCCUCCUCUUUGCCUGCACCAUUGUGGAUAUCUUGGAAAGGUUCACCGAGGCUGAAGUGAUGGUGAUGGGUGAUGUGACCUACGGGGCUUGCUGUGUGGAUGACUUCACUGCCAGGGCCCUGGGAGCUGACUUCCUGGUACACUAUGGCCACAGCUGCCUAGUUCCAAUGGACACCUCGGCCCAAGACUUGCGGGUGCUGUACGUGUUCGUCGACAUCCGGAUAGAUGCUGCCCACCUGCUGGACUCUCUCCGCCUCACCUUUCCCCCGGCCACUGCCCUUGCCCUGGUCAGCACCAUUCAGUUUGUGUCCACCUUGCAGGCAGCUGCCCAGGAGCUAAAAGCUGAGUAUCGUGUGAGUGUCCCACAGUGCAAGCCCCUGUCCCCUGGAGAGAUUCUGGGCUGCACAUCCCCCCGACUGCCCGAAGAGGUAGAGGCCGUUGUGUAUCUUGGAGAUGGCCGAUUCCAUCUGGAGUCUGUCAUGAUUGCCAACCCCAACGUCCCUGCUUACCGGUAUGACCCAUAUAGCAAAGUCCUGUCGAGAGAGCACUAUGACCACCAGCGCAUGCAAGCUGCUCGCCAGGAAGCCAUAACUGCUGCCCGCUCAGCUAAGUCCUGGGGCCUCAUUCUAGGCACUUUGGGUCGCCAGGGCAGUCCUAAGAUCCUGGAGCACCUGGAGUCCCAGCUCCGAGCCCUGGGCCUUUCCUUCGUGAGGCUGCUGCUCUCUGAGAUCUUCCCCAGCAAGCUUCGCCUACUUCCUGAGGUGGAUGUGUGGGUGCAGGUGGCGUGUCCACGGCUCUCCAUUGACUGGGGCACAGCCUUCCCCAAGCCGCUGCUGACACCCUAUGAGGCGGCCGUGGCCCUGAGGGCCAUUUCCUGGCAGCAGCCCUACCCCAUGGACUUCUACGCCGGCAGCUCCUUGGGGCCCUGGACGGUGAACCACGGCCAAGACCGGCGUCCCCAGGCCCUGGGCCGGCCCGCGCAGGGGAAGGUGCAGGAGGGGUCCACGCAGCCCCCUUCAGCCGUGGCUUGCGAGGACUGCAGCUGCAGAGACGAGAAGGUGGCGCCGCUCGCUCCUUGACACGCUCCCGGCCCCCAGGUACGCCUCUGCUCUGGCUGCGCCCCUCCCCUCACCGUUGUCAUGGGAACGUCUUGGCGCUGCGAGGCCCGCCUUCGGGGUGGUGCCUGCGUUUGGUUCCGCCCCUUGCACUCUCCUUCCGCUCGGGGAAAGGCCGCUUCCGGUGCUUUCAUUGCGAUUCUGCCGAGCAUAAUGGCCACGCAGCAGCGAACCCUCCGGGUCCUGUGCCUGGCGGGCUUCCGGCAGAGUGAGCGGGGCUUCCGCGAGAAGACCGGAGCACUGAGGAAGGCGCUGCGGGGCCGCGCCGACCUCGUGUGCCUCAGCGGCCCGCACCCGGUCCCGGACGCCCCGGGCCCCGAGAGCGCCAGAUCAGACUUCGGGUCCUGCCCUCCGGAGGAGCAGCCUCGAGGCUGGUGGUUUUCAGAGCAAGAGGCGGACGUUUUCUCAGCAUUGGAAGAGCCCGCCGUGUGCAGGGGCCUGGAGGAAGCCCUGGGGACGGUGGCGCAGGCCCUGAACAGGCUGGGGCCUUUUGAUGGGCUUCUUGGUUUCAGCCAAGGGGCUGCGCUGGCAGCCCUCGUGUGCGCCCUGGGCCAGGCAGGCGAUUCCCGCUUCCCCUUGCCGCGGUUUGUCAUCUUGGUAUCUGGAUUCUGUCCCCGGGGCCUUGGAUUCAAGGAAUCUAUCCUGCAAAGA